CUACAUGUGGAUGGAGCCUCAAAUUCUUAGAAAACUGACACCGAUUUAAUUUUGGCUAGUCCUGAAGGAUUGUAAUUGAGCAGUCUCUGAGGUUUAAUUUUAAUACUUCCAAUAAUAGUACUGAAUAUGAGGUCUUAAGGGCAGGUCUUAAGAUGGCAAAAGAACUCAAAGUCAGAAAAUUAAAGAUUUUCACAGAUUCGCAACUUAUCGUCGGCCA
rnacentral:lncRNA from 1 species